rnacentral:rRNA from 1 species
AGUGAACGCUGGCGGCAGGCCUAACACAUGCAAGUCGAACGGCAGCACAAGAGAGCUUGCUCUCUGGGUGGCGAGUGGCGGACGGGUGAGGAAUGCAUCGGAAUCUGCCCAUUUGUGGAGGAUAACCUCGGGAAACCGGGACUAAUACCGCAUACGACCUACGGGUGAAAGCAGGGGAUCUUCGGACCUUGCGCAGAUGGAUGAGCCGAUGCCGGAUUAGCUAGUUGGAGGGGUAAAGGCCCACCAAGGCGACGAUCCGUAGCUGGUCUGAGAGGAUGAUCAGCCACACUGGGACUGAGACACGGCCCAGACUCCUACGGGAGGCAGCAGUGGGGAAUAUUGGACAAUGGGCGCAAGCCUGAUCCAGCCAUGCCGCGUGUGUGAAGAAGGCCUUCGGGUUGUAAAGCACUUUUGUUGGGAAAGAAAAGCAGCCGGUUAAUACCCGGUUGUCAUGACGGUACCCAAAGAAUAAGCACCGGCUAACUUCGUG